UUGUAGAAGGAACACCGGUAUAACUGUUAUAUCUUUUGAACCAAGUACAAGUAUUGCCACUCAUCCUAUAGCAGCGGCACUACAAUGAGGUCUGCACUGAUGUCUCCCCUGCUUUUGGCGUCACAGUCUGUGUGACUUCCGAUGCACGAGUGCUUCCGGAAUGCCCCAUUAUUAAGUGCCCGUAUGAAUUUAAGGCAGGGUGCUUCAUCAGGGAGGACAUGUGUCAGUGCUCUUGUGUUCUGGACGACGCUCCCUGUCACUACGUCAUCCGGAAUUUCCAGCGCUACUGCAAGGCCAAUGAGUUACUUGAGUGUUCUAAAGAUUCUUCCACCUGUAAAUGUCAGUGCGUUCCUGAGUGAGCCCUUGACGCAAGAUUUCUCAUUCAGCUCAGUUUGUCGGGCAAGAAUAAUGUAACACCUACUUUCUUCAAUAAGUUACUUCAUGUACUGCAAGAUAUGAGAAUAAAGACACCAAG